rnacentral:tRNA from 1 species
CGUCCCGUCGUCCAGCGGCCAGGGCCCCCGCCUCACAUGCGGGUGAUCGCAGGUUCGACUCCUGCCGGGACGAC